GAAGACGGCCAUAGUAGGUUGGAAACACCUGUUCCCAUUCCGAACACAGAAGUUAAGCUUCCUACGUUGUUGGUUGUAGUCUCAGACAAGAGGCAAACCCCUCAAGUCGUCUUCA
rnacentral:rRNA from 1 species